rnacentral:tRNA from 1 species
GUGGGCGUAGCUCAGUUGGAAGAGCAGCGGUCUCCAAAGCCGCAUGUCGGAGGUUCGAGCCCUCCCGCCCGCGCCA